rnacentral:rRNA from 1 species
GUAGUCCACGCUGUAAACGAUGGGUACUAGGUGUUGCGGGAAUUGACCCCUGCAGUGCCGACGCUAACGCAUUAAGUACCCCGCCUGGGAAGUACGGCCGCAAGGUUAAAACUCAAAGGAAUUGACGGGGGCCCGCACAAGCGGUGGAGCAUGUGGUUUAAUUCGAUGCAACGCGAAAAACCUUACCUGGGUUAGACAACGCAGGACAGCCGUAGAAGUACGGUUUCCCCUUCGGGGGCCUGCGGUUCAGGUGCUGCAUGGCUGUCGUCAGCUCGUAUCGUGAGAUGUCGGGUUAAGUCCCUUAACGAGCGCAACCCCUAUCCCUAGUUGCCACCAUUUAGUUGGGCACUCUAAGGAGACCGCCGGUGUUAAACCGGA